AUACUUGGAAUCCAUGUUGUACAGAAACCCAAGCAGCUCAACAGAGGAAAACAGGCCUCAGGACCAAAGACCUCGCUGAAUUCCCAGCUGAUGCUCUACACAUAGAAGCCAUCUUGGGUGUGGCUUCUUUGGCUCCAGCUGAGGUCACCUCUAAGCCUUGUGGAAUAAGGAGGAGCUGUCUCUGCAUAGCUCAGUCCAUACUGUAAUGCUGUGAAUACACAAUUAAUAUUACAUCUGUGGUUUGCUACAUAGCAGUCCAAACUGAAGGAACCAUCUGGGUCAGCAACAUUGAGACACGGGGAGGAAGGUGAGCACAAGCCAGGAAGGUGAGACGCAUCCGGGCCGCGUGGCAUUCCCGCCUUUCCAAGGGAAAGGUGCAGAAAGCAGCACUAAAGGAAAGACCAGUAACAGCUGCAGCAACAAAAAAAAAUCCUGCAGUAAGGACCAACCUGUGCUGCCGAGUCAGGAGGAAGGAACCCAAAUGCCAUCUGGUUCACGGACCAGUCUGUCCAUGGGAAAUGAAUGAAAGCACCACUAGAAGGAACCCGUUGUGGCAUUAUGGAAAAAGAGCAUCGGCUUCCAAAGAGGGGUAAAAGCAGGUAGCAAGCAGCCUUUGAAGUGGCUCAGCAGCGGAGGAGGUGGAGGAGGCCAGGCGGCCAUUAUCAGUGGCUACCAGGUGCCAGGGGACCGCGUUAGGUGAUAAAACACUUGGCUGACACCAGAAAAAAGAAUCAUCACUCCUCUCCUACCCCACCCUCACUCCCUUGCUCUCUCUCCUUUUUUUUUUUAAAGGAGGCUUUUUACCCUCAUUAAAUGAAACCUUAUCUCUGAAAGACUGCAAUCCUCAG